UAACUAUACUUAUAGAUCAUAAAAGCCAUCCUCUUGAUUUUAUGAUCUGUAAAUUGUUAACAUUUCUGGUGAGUACGAUGUAUUUUAUUAAACGUUUUUGUUUUUGCCAUGAUCAGAUAAAUAUUGACUGUGAACUGCUCCAAGUGAUAUUGUAGUGUAGAGGUUUGGAGUUGUUUGGAUCAAGAUAAAGCGUUACGUAUGUUUCUUGCUAGUGAUUACGAGACAUGCCUCUCUCUCUCUCUCUCUCUCUGUAAUGCCUUGCAUUGUUAAAGGCAUUUUUGUAUAUUAUGUUGUAAAAUUGUGGUGAUAUUAAGGAGUGGAUUAGUUCACUUAAAUCCCCACUGAAGACCCAAACUGCUCCACCUGCCACAGACUUUUUGUAAAAACAAAUUUUAUUUUUAUCAAUGGAAAACACGUGCCUUGGCUCAGUAAUGUUUGGGGAACACUGGUCUUGGAUACCUGCUUCUGAUUGGACCCCAGUUCGGCAAAUUCCCUAGUAUGAGUUUGCCCAAGUAUGAGCCCUGGGAUUUAACAAAAUGGCUGCUUCAAACCAAAAUUGCUGGUGUUCUCCAAAUUCUGCGUCAAUUGGUGAAAGUGGUGUUAGGGGGUAAUUGUUUUCUAACAUUUUGGGUUGGCGUGUUUGGAACUCCUAAAAUGUAUACAGACAUUUUUACUAAAAUUGUUACGCUUUCAGGCAUGUUGAGGCCCCCCAAAAGGUCCGCACCCUGAGGCAGUGAUUCUUUCGUGUACUCCUCACAGCAGCUCACAUCCUAAGAAGCUCCUAACUGAAGAUGACUGAGAUGAGACGUCCUCCUGGGACGUGAGCAGCUGCAGCAUUUGGUCGGUGGCCGUGCAGCUGGACGGCUCGUGUUUGCCCACAAACAGCAGCUUCUUGAAGGCGCCCACUGGAACGUCACACAGCACCCUAAAACAAACACAUGCUGCACAAACAAAAUCCCUACCCUUUGCCCAGAUGUUUGCACAAGAUAUCUGCUUUGCAUGGGGGAAAAUUGACCUGCAUCUUCAUAGACCGGAGGUGCCACUUGAUCGUUCUUACUGGCAAACAGUGGCGUGAUGGUGGACGGCCAC